GACGAACGCUGGCGGCGUGCUUAACACAUGCAAGUCAAACGGAAAGGCCCUGCUUUUGUGGGGUGCUCGAGUGGCGAACGGGUGAGUAACACGUGAGUAACCUGCCCUUGACUUUGGGAUAACUUCAGGAAACUGGGGCUAAUACCGGAUAGGAGCUCCUGCUGCAUGGUGGGGGUUGGAAAGUUUCGGCGGUUGGGGAUGGACUCGCGGCUUAUCAGCUUGUUGGUGGGGUAGUGGCUUACCAAGGCUUUGGCGGGUAGCCGGCCUGAGAGGGUGACCGGCCACAUUGGGACUGAGAUACGGCCCAGACUCCUACGGGAGGCAGCAGUGGGGAAUAUUGCACAAUGGGCGGAAGCCUGAUGCAGCAACGCCGCGUGCGGGAUGACGGCCUUCGGGUUGUAAACCGCUUUCGCCUGUGACGAAGCGUGAGUGACGGUAAUGGGUAAAGAAGCACCGGCUAACUACGUG
rnacentral:rRNA from 1 species